rnacentral:rRNA from 1 species
UACGGAGGGGGCUAGCGUUGUUCGGAAUUACUGGGCGUAAAGCGCACGUAGGCGGACUGGCAAGUCAGGGGUGAAAUCCCGGGGCUCAACCCCGGAACUGCCUUUGAAACUGUCGGUCUGGAGGUCGAGAGAGGUGGGUGGAAUUCCGAGUGUAGAGGUGAAAUUCGUAGAUAUUCGGAGGAACACCGGUGGCCAAGGCGGCCCACUGGCUCGAUGCUGACGCUGAGGUGCGAAAGCGUGGGGAGCAAACAGG